rnacentral:misc_RNA from 1 species
AUUGAUGAGCACGACUACGACGUCAAGAUGCGGGCCAUCAAACGUUUCUUCGACGACGGCGAUAAGGUGAAGGUUACCCUGCGCUUCCGUGGUCGCGAAAUGGCGCACCAGCAACUUGGUAUGGCUGUACUUCAGCGGGUCAAGGGUGAGCUGGAAGAGAUUGCAAAGGUCGAGAGCGAACCACGCCUCGAAGGCCGCCAAAUGGUUAUGGUUUUGGCGCCGCGCUAACGUCGGGUUUCCGGAUCGCGCGCUUUUUGCGCGAUAGGAAGAACCCGAACGUUCACGAAUUGAACACCGAAA